rnacentral:lncRNA from 1 species
UGAUUUGAGUAAGGUUUCGAGAGUAAUGUGAGCGCGAUUUGUAUGAGGUUUGAGUGUGAUUUGAAUGUAAUGUGAGUGAGGGAUGAGAAGAUGACUAGUUUAAUCUCUUUUUUAUAUUUUUUUUAAUUUUUCUCCUUUUUGUAAUAGUUAUAUGAUUUGUUUUACUUCUACAUUAUCAAUUUUUAUGUUGAAAAUUCUUUCAAAAAACUAUCUCGCUCUCCUUUUUGGAAUUUUGCCCAACUUUCCUUUUU